GUGAACAUAGUUUAAAUAAAACCCUAGAUUGUGAUUCUAGAAACGGAAGAUAAUCCCUUCCUAUUCACC
rnacentral:tRNA from 1 species